rnacentral:tRNA from 1 species
UCCCCAGUGGCUCAGCUGUAAAGAAUCUGCCUGUGAUGCAGGAGUUGCAGGAGACCCAGGUUUGAUCCCUGGGUGGGGAA